GCUGUAGCGACCGAGAUUGACGAAGAAAUACGAGUUUCGAGGAUGCGGAUUAUCGUAAAUCGAACGAGUACGAGAUGGACAUGGAGACGAAGCUGAGCAAUUUUCUCUCAAUGACACCAAUGAUAAGGAAUAAUGCACUCAUAAUUGGAAGAAACGUAGAAUGUCGAUGGGCUUAUAAUAUAUGUCAGUGAUGUUCCUGUUCGUCUAUCCCAAGAUUUCUGUGUUCUCAGAUCUUGUAAAUCUGGGACCGUGCUUGCAACGAUCUUGCGAACGAUCCAUGUUACUCGGCUAGGCGUCCCAUCCCUUGUCGCAUUUACAAGGCUUCACCAUCGCCAACGGCGUUUCCAAAGUCAGUCAGCUGCUCUUGGCCGCCUGGAACCUCGAUUCAACUUACCGUUUUAAAA
rnacentral:lncRNA from 1 species